rnacentral:siRNA from 1 species
CUGGACAAAAGCGGAUCUAGCGGU